AUACCUUUCUCGGCCUUUUGGCUAAGAUCAAGUGUAGUAUCUGUUCUUAUCAGUUUAAUAUCUGAUAUGUGAGUCAUCGACUCACAUGAUAUUAAAUUUAUUUUUUGAGGGGGAGAGUCCGUAACUGCAGCUUGCUGCUGGGUCUCUAGAGCGUCGCCUUGGUGUUGCACUACUGCCAUGGCCUGGCGCACCCCAC